UACGUAGGGUGCAAGCGUUGUCCGGAAUUACUGGGCGUAAAGCGCUCGUAGGCGGUUUGUCGCGUCGAAUGUGAAAACCCGGGGCUCAACCCCGGGCCUGCAUUCGAUACGGGCAGGCUAGAGUUCGGUAGAGGAGUCUGGAAUUCCUGGUGUAGCGGUGAAAUGCGCAGAUAUCAGGAGGAACACCGGUGGCGAAGGCGGGACUCUGGGCCGAUACUGACGCUGAGGUGCGAAAGCGUGGGGAGCAAACAGG
rnacentral:rRNA from 1 species